rnacentral:rRNA from 1 species
UACGGGGGGAGCAAGCGUUGUUCGGAUUUACUGGGCGUAAAGGGCGCGUAGGCGGUGUGUCGCGUCGGUCGUGAAAACUUGGGGCUUAACCCUGAGCUUGCGGUCGAUACGGGCAUCACUGGAGUUCGGCAGGGGAGACUGGAAUUCCUGGUGUAGCGGUGAAAUGCGCAGAUAUCAGGAGGAACACCGGUGGCGAAGGCGGUUCUCUGGGAAUGUUCUGACGCUGAGGAGCGAAAGUGUGGGGAGCGAACAGG